ACUAGCGCCUGCAGAGCUGCGGUCCCUGUGCGCGGGAUCGCGUCGGGGGCGGGGCGGCGACAGGCCUUCAACGUCAAACUGCUGACGGGCGCCGUUACGACCCGCGCUCCCGUGCGCUCCUCAAAUUCUGAGACGCGUGGCUGGAGAGCGGGCGGCCCUGGCCCCGGAGAGCCGUGUUCCCGCGGGAUCUCGUCGCGGGCGUGAGGCGGGGCCGGCCUGGGCCGGUCAUCCCUGGCUGGCGCGACCCGCAGCCUGUCCGGGAAGCCGUUGCGACAUGCGGGCUGGGAACCGCCUCACCUCCAGGGGGGACCGCGGCGGCCCGCUAGACUCUGGUCGGGUCUGGAGUAUUGGGCCCUCUGGCCGGACUCGGUGCUCCUCAGGCCCCAGCGCCCGGCACUGAGCCUCGCAUCCACAUUCGCAGAGUAAACCCAACAAGUGUUGAAUGAAUGAGGUUCCCCGGGCCCCGGCUGUCACUGGGCUCUGCGCCAGGCCAAGAGCCGAAGGCGGGGGAGGAAGAUGUCGAAAUGGGCGGGAUGAUUCACAGAUGACGGCCGGUGGCGAGGCGGGGCUGGAGGCCGCAUCCCAAAGGCAGCAGGGAAGUGCGGCGGCUGUGGGGAAGCUCGGACGCACGGCCUGGCCGAGUCUGAAGCAUCAGUAUUUUGUCCCUGAGCCGGCGCGCUGAUGGGUCCCCCGCCUGGCGAUGAGGGCUUCUCCCUCCCUCGGGUCAGCCCGGGUCCUGAGAGGCAAGGCCAGCGAUUCCCGGCCUUAGGACCUCCUGCUCUAGGGAGCACGGGCGUCUUCUUCCAUUUGCCUUCCCCGAGCGUGUUGGCACAAGCUGCCCGCGGUUUCCAGCUCUGUCUUCUCUGUUUUACCCAGAUGAUGCAACUGUGGACUUCUCCAUCUGUUCAUAGGUUUUCCUUGGAUAGGAAAGAUGUUUUCCUUUUUUCUUUCUAAAGUUUAGCUCUUCUCUGGGCUUCCUUUUUAAAAACUUUUUCUACUCUCUUCAGCAGUUGUUAUUAACCUUUAGGUCGCGACCGUUUGGAAAAUAAUAAAACUACGAAUUCUCUUCUCCUA